UUUUAAGAAGAGAAUGGAAGCAGAGAAUGAAGGAGGAAAAUGCUUGAGGUUUGGCUGAAUGCCUCCUCCCAGUAGAAGGAAAAUUAAAGGAAAUUUCUCCAGUUUAGGCCCAGUGGAUGGCUUAUAACCCAGAGAAAAGUAAUGUAUGUACAUGGCAGACUGUCAUCUGAGCUCAGCCUGUCCUGCUGUCUCCUCUCUCCAGAGAGCAUCCUUCAUCCUGAUAAACGGGCUGUGAGCCGAGCAUGUGACUCUGCUCCUUAAGGCCUGGGUAGCAGAAAUCCAAGAUCCUCCUCAACAACGACUGCACCUUCUGCCUGGAAGGCUUGAAGAUCACCAAGAAGACAGUACCCUGAUCUGCCAGGGGCCACUCCUGGCUCCUGCCUCGCCUCUAGUUUCCUUAGCGAUAAAAGCAGUGGUGAAAGGAUGCUUGGGUGGCUCAGUGGCUGAGCGUCUGCUUUUGGCUCAGAUCAUGAUCCUGGGGUGCUGGGAUCAAGUCCCACAUCAGGCUCCUCACAGGGAGCCUGCUUUUCUCUCCGCCUGUGUCUCUGCCUCUCUCUCUGUGUCUCUCAUGAAUAAAUAAAUAAAAUCUUAAAAAAAAAAAAAAAAGCAUUGAUGAAGAGCUCCACAGGCAGGGCGUCAAGGGCAAGGGCUGCAAUCUACAGGCUGCUGACCCAUGCAAAGCCACAGUCCUCCAAGCCUUCCAAGUUCUCUCUGGACCACACAGGUCUGUCUCCCCUCCUCUGAGCUGCCCUUGCCAUGUACAGUUUAGCAUGUUAUUCUCCUCAGUCUCCUGAUGUAAUUACUCCUUGUAUGUUGUGUGACCGUGACAAGGUCACAUGCGUGCGUCUUCUCUGAAAUGAGAGAUACACAGUAUCAGACAUGGAGCAGGUCUCAGACUUAAUCUAAACU
rnacentral:lncRNA from 12 species